GACGAACCGUGCGAACGUUGUUCGGAAUCACUGGGCUUAAAGGGCGCGUAGGCGGGCUGUCAAGUCUGGGGUGAAAUGCCGCGGCUCAACCGUGGAACUGCCUCAGAUACUGACGGCCUCGAGGGAGGUAGGGGCGUGCGGAACUGUAGGUGGAGCGGUGAAAUGCGUUGAUAUCUACAGGAACUCCGGUGGCGAAAGCGGCGCGCUGGACCUCUUCUGACGCUGAUGCGCGAAAGCUAGGGGAGCAAACGGG
rnacentral:rRNA from 1 species